rnacentral:tRNA from 1 species
AGCCCUGUAGUAGACACAUACGUUGGAUUGCAAAUCCAAAACCGGAGGUUUCCUCCUCCCGGGGCUU